rnacentral:rRNA from 1 species
UACGGGGGGGGCAAGCAUUAUUCAUAUUGAUUUGGCGUAAAGGGUUUGUAGGAUGUUUUUGGUUGUUAAAAGAAAAAGUUAAAAGCUCAACUUUUGUACUUUUUUUAAUACACUUAAACUUGAGUUUAUAUAGAGGGUAAUGGAAUUUCUAUUGGAGGGUUAAAAUCCUGUGAUUUUAGAAGGAAGGCCAAAUGCGAAGGCAAUUACCUAGGUUAAAACUGACACUGAGAAACGAAAGCUUGGGUAGCGAACGGG